CUUCAGCCCCUCAUCAACCGGAUCGCGACCCAGCUGCCAACCUGGAAGGCAUCCCUUCUUCGCCGGGCGGGCCGGCUGACACUAGUGAAUUGCAAACUUUCGUCCAUGCCGAUCUUUCACAUGAUGGCGCUGGAUCUACCAUCGUGGUUCUUCAAGUGCAUCGACAAACUGAGGAGAGGUUUCUUCUGGCAAGGGGUGGAGGAAGCCAAGGGGGGAUGCUGCCUAGUUGCAUGGCAUGUCGUCUGCACCCCCAAGCCGUAUGGGGGGCUGGGCGUUCUGCAGCUGUUGAACCAAGCCCUUCGCUUGCGCUGGCUUUGGCUAGAGAAGACGAUGCUAGACAAGCCUUGGCAUGGCUUGAAGGUGACUACCACAGAAAAAGGCUGCAUGCCUUGGGCUCGCGGCGCUCCAAUGCAACAUUGGGGAUGGCCUCAGGGCUAA
rnacentral:rRNA from 1 species